rnacentral:rRNA from 1 species
UAGCCUUGACAUUGAUAGAAUACACCAGAAAUGGAUUAAUGCCUUUCGGGAAACUUGAAAACAGGUGCUGCACGGCUGUCGUCAGCUCGUGUCGUGAGAUGUUGGGUUAAGUCCCGCAACGAGCGCAACCCUCGUCCUUAGUUACUAACGGUUCGGCCGAGGACUCUAAGGAGACUGCCUUCGUAAGGAGGAGGAAGGUGAGGACAACGUCAAGUCAUCAUGGCCCUUACGGUUAGGGCAACACACGUGCUACAAUGGUUAGGACAAUGAAAAGCGAUACCGCGAGGUGGAGCAAAUCUAUAAACCUAAUCUCAGUUCGGAUAGCAGUCUGCAACUCGACUGCUUGAAGCUGGAAUCACUAGUAAUCGUAAAUCAGCUAUGUUACGGUGAAUACGUUCCCGGGUCU